rnacentral:rRNA from 1 species
GAUGAACGCUGGCGGCGCGCCUAACACAUGCAAGUCGAACGGCACCCCUCCUCGGAGGGAAGCGAGUGGCGAACGGCUGAGUAACACGUGGAGAACCUGCCCCCUCCCCCGGGAUAGCCGCCCGAAAGGACGGGUAAUACCGGAUACCCCGGGGUGCCGCAUGGCACCCCGGCUAAAGCCCCGACGGGAGGGGAUGGCUCCGCGGCCCAUCAGGUAGACGGCGGGGUGACGGCCCACCGUGCCGACAACAGGUAGCCGGGUUGAGAGACCGACCGGCCAGAUUGGGACUGAGACACGGCCCAGACUCCUACGGGAGGCAGCAGUGGGGAAUCUUGCGCAAUGGGGGGAACCCUGACGCAGCGACGCCGCGUGCGGGACGGAGGCCUUCGGGUCGGAAACCGCUUUCAGCAGGGAAGAGUCAAGACUGUACCUGCAGAAGAAGCCCCGGCUAACUACGUG